rnacentral:tRNA from 1 species
GCCUAGUUAGCUUGGUUGGUAGCGCGUCUGCCUUGUAAGCGCUAGGCCGCGGGUUCGAGUCCCGCCCGAGGUG